rnacentral:lncRNA from 1 species
CUGGGAUGACAAACUAAUCCAAGCAACUUAUUUUAUGUCAACCAGUUGUAUACUAAGAUAAGCAAAAGCAAAACCGUGAAGAAAUAUGUAAUAAAAAUCAAUGUGCUACUUAUAGGAACUGCGUCUAUAAACAUAUAUGUACAUUGUAUGAUAAAAGACUUUUGCAGGUAAGGAAAAUAGAUAAUUUUCAAAAUAUUCAAAUAUUGAAUUGUGAAUUAUAGACAAUAUAUCCUGUUCAUUUCAUAAACCAGGCAGGUAUUAUUUUUUGAUAUUCAUUGAUAACCAGUUAAUGCAUAUCGUCAUUAUUAAGUUAAUAGUUAUCAAAGCUACCAGGAUUAUAAUUUAGUACGCCAGACGCGCGUUUCGUCUACAUAAGACUCAUCAGUGACGCUCAAUCAAAAUAUUUAUAAACCCAAACAAGUACAAAGUUGAAGAGCAUUGAGGAUCCAAAAUUCCAAAAAGUUGUGCCAAAUACGGCUAAGGUCUACCAUAUAUUCUGGAUAUUAUUGAAUUACUUGAAAUGUAAUAUUAACGUACAUUGAUAUGUCUACAUUGAUUUCCAUUUUAUUAUUAUUUAUAUUCCGGUUGUAUUUAGUGCCUUUACAUCAGAAACUUUUAGGGUCAAUUACCAUCUUAUUGAUUGUUUGUUAUGAAAUAGACAAAAGUAAUGAUUAUCCAAUGUUUUCGUUUUACUAGAAAGGCUUACAUAUGUUUUAGUUUGUUACCCCGAUUUAGUUUUUUGUCCAUGGAUUUAUGAGUUUUUAACAGCGGUAUACUACUGUUGCCUUUAUUUAUAUACCUACAAUAUGUCUCUCAUAUAUUCACAAGAAACUGAGCAAGGAAUUGGACUAAUAUAUUUCUUUAGAAAACUGUACCCAACAAGCCGGAUUUAGAAUUUUAAAUAGAUUAUUCAUGCAUCAUUGUGCAUAAUGACUUUAUAUUCUGAAAUACAUUUUGUUCAAUUUCCUGCUGACUUAACUAUUGUUCAAUAAUAUUUUAUCAAAUGAAAUUAUUGAGUAUAUAGAACAUAUACUAUAUUAUAUAAAAAGUCAGGACUGGAAACACUGCUCUCAGCAACGUCACAUUGCAUAAAAUAAAUCCUGUUGAUACCUUCCCGAUUAUGCAACUAUUUUCUUAAAUACAUGUAUUACAGAAUGCAAUUCAUUUAGACAUUUAGUCGUUAUAUUGUCGUGAUUUAAGUAUUAUAUAUGAAAGCAUCUUUGAACUUCCAGCAAAAUACGUCAUGAUUUACAUUUUUCAUAUGUAAUAAGUGUGUAUUAAAAUGUAGUAUUUCCAGCUCAUAAAAAGUCGUACAUUUUUUUCCAUUUGCAAAUUUAACGAAUUCCUAGUAAUAUUUUCGUAAGCGUACACGUAAUUCGUAACUAUAGUUAUUAUGAAAAACCAUAUAGGACCAACAUUUAACUUAAGCAUCAUUCAGAUUGCUUAUGGCAAGCACAAUUUAAAAAGAGCUUCAAGUAUAUCAUUUUGAUCUUGGUUAUAUAGCCUCCUUGUUUUCAGAAACCAUAUGUCAUGGAAUACAUGACAAAAUCUAUUAAAAUUAAUAACAAAAUCAAUUCUUAAGUAACAAGUGGAAUAUGAAACAAGUGUUAUCGGCGUGAUAUAUGUUUUUUUUAAUCUGAAACUGUACAGGAAAUAAACAAAUAUGUAUAUAUUGUUCCGUGUUUUAGCUGCAUAAUGAGUGACCGAAAAGCUGUUGUUAAGAAUGCUGAUAUGUCAGAGGAUAUGCAACAAGAUGUAGUUGACUGUUCUACACAAGCUCUAGAGAAAUUCAACAUUGAAAAAGACAUUGCCGCAUACAUUAAAAAGGAAUUCGAUAGGAAGUAUAACCCAACAUGGCACUGUAUCGUUGGACGGAAUUUUGGCAGUUAUGUUACACAUGAGACCAAACAUUUUAUAUAUUUUUACUUGGGACAAGUUGCAAUUCUGUUGUUCAAAUCUGGUUAAUAAAGGAAAUUCAGUUUACAAUUAAACAUAUUUUAAGCGCAUAAGAAAUCGUUGUCAUACUUGCAGAACUUGUUUUAACUUAGACCAAAUUUGAAAAUAACUAUACUUUUUUUACAUAGAUAUGGCCGUUAGU